CUCAUGGAGAGUUUGAUCCUGGCUCAGGACGAACGCUGGCGGCGCGCUUAACACAUGCAAGUCGAACGGGGCUCUCUCUUCGGGGGGAGUUCAGUGGCGAACGGGUGCGUAACACGUGAGCAACCUGCCCAUCUGUGGGGGAUAACCUCGGGAAACCGGGGCUAAUACCGCAUGCGUUCUCUGGCUCGAUUGAGCCAUUGAGGAAAGGUGCUGCAAGGCACUGCAGAUGGAGGGGCUCGCGGCGUAUCAGCUAGUUGGUGGGGUAACGGCUCACCAAGGCAACGACGCGUAGCCGAUCUGAGAGGAUGAUCGGCCACAUUGGGACUGAGAUACGGCCCAGACUCCUACGGGAGGCAGCAG
rnacentral:rRNA from 1 species